rnacentral:misc_RNA from 1 species
UAUAUAUAUAUAUAUAUAUAAUGAUGGAUCAAACUCGAUAGAUAAAUCCAUCUUAUUCUUCAUCUCCACAAGCCAGAUUUAGCUUUCAUCAACCUUACUGGACCGUUGAGCAAUCAGUGGAAGGGCUGAUCUUGUAAGGAAUGUUGACUCCACAAACUCCAGGGAGCCCAGCGGCUUUUCCUGUAUCAAUGCCCUUAAUAGAAUUAGCUGCCGAUUUAAGGCAAGUGCACGCUGUCUUCCGGUCUUCUGGGGUCUUGGCUGCGCCCAAUAGA